ACGAGGUCAGGAGAUUGAGACCAUCCUGGCUAACAUGGUGAAAUCCCGUCUCUACUAACAAAAAAUUUAAAAAAAUUUAAAAAGUAGUCUGAGUCUUCCUGAUUCAAUGAAGUCAUAAGAAAGGAUUCAUUUGGAGCUGUUAAAGAAGGAACCUUUUAUUUUUGUGACGACAUACACAAACUAUUUGUAUACAUCACUGCAUUAGAUCAUAUUAUCCUUAUAAGUCACUCUGUGGCAUUAUUUAUAUAGAAAAUACUCAGAUAUAUGGCAUGAAGUCAAUUACCUAAGAAGCAAAGUGAAACAAACAAAACCUGGGUUUUUCUCCCCAUACCACUCUUCCGUGAAUCCCCAAAUGAGCCUCUAGGAUAAGAUUCAUUUCUUUGUUU
rnacentral:lncRNA from 1 species